UACAGAGGGUGCGAGCGUUAAUCGGAAUUACUGGGCGUAAAGCGUGCGUAGACGGUUAUUUAAGUCGGGUGUGAAAGCCCCGGGCUCAACCUGGGAAUUGCAUUCGAGACUGAAUAGCUAGGGUACGGUAGAGGGAAGUGGAAUUUCCGGUGUAGCGGUGAAAUGCGUAGAUAUCGGAAGGAACAUCAGUGGCGAAAGCGGCUCUCUGGACCAGCACUGACACUGAGGCACGAAAGCGUGGGGAGCAAACAGG
rnacentral:rRNA from 1 species